AACGAACGCUGGCGGCAUGCCUAACACAUGCAAGUCGAACGAGACCUUCGGGUCUAGUGGCGCACGGGUGCGUAACGCGUGGGAACCUGCCCUUAGGUUCGGAAUAACUCCCAGAAAGGGGUGCUAAUACCGGAUAAUGUCUUCGGACCAAAGAUUUAUCGCCUUUGGAUGGGCCCGCGUUGGAUUAGCUAGUUGGUAGGGUAAAAGCCUACCAAGGCGACGAUCCAUAGCUGGUCUGAGAGGAUGAUCAGCCACACUGGGACUGAGACACGGCCCAGACUCCUACGGGAGGCAGCAGUGGGGAAUAUUGGACCAUGGGCCAAAGCCUGAUCCAGCAAUGCCGCGUGAGUGAUGAAGGCCUUAGGGUUGUAAAGCCCUUUUUCCCGGGAUGAUAAUGACAGUACCGGGAGGAUAAGCUCCGGCUAACUCCCUG
rnacentral:rRNA from 1 species